rnacentral:antisense_RNA from 1 species
AUGCGGGAUUGGCAGGAGCUGCGGUGCUCACACUUGCCUCGCGGACCGCCAUUUCACAUCCAGCAGAGGAGGCGGGGGCAGCCGCUGAGACGGUUUUUCACAAGGUGCAUUUUAAUGGUUACCAGGUUGCCACGUAUUUGAAGUGGUGUGAGAGCUACUCGUUUGGAACCGUUGUGGAUUUUCAAAUAGGAAAAUCAAAAGGCCCAAAGAGACAGCUCACUGGAAAUGACCUCGUUUUUGAUGGCUGCUGCUAACUUAUGGUGAGAUGCUGGGUCCCUGUCCAAUACCACAUGGACAUCCAAUCAAUUUACCCAGGGACAAGUCCACUCAAGAGCAUCAUUUAGAAGAGGGAAAGGCAUUGGGGUUGUUUUUGGAGUAUGUGCUUAAGGAAAUCUAGAGUAUUCCCACAAGCAUUCUGCUGAGAUGAACAAUCAGAUGCCCUCGUGUGAGAUUUGGAGGGCAGAAGGAAAUGGAGAGCACGUUUCUGCCGCUUCUGUGGUUUCUGUCGGUAAACACAGUGACGAGGUGCUGAGUUUCCCCCAGAAAGCCUCCCAGUGUCCUGUUACCAGCUUCACAAGUUUCGAGGGCAGGGCAUGGGCAUCCAUUGUUCACCAGUGGAGAUCUGUCUGGCACAGAACUGAUCCAACCAUUGCAGUGGUCACAGCGGUGUUGGCUUUCUGAUUCUCGACCUUCCUGACCGCCAGAGGAGGCAGCCUCUUUGGUGGCCCUGUUCUGUGGUAUUGCGCUAACCAGUGGUGGGACUAAAACUGUCUCUAUAA